rnacentral:rRNA from 1 species
UACGAAGGGGGGCUAGCGUUGUUCGGAAUUACUGGGCGUAAAGCGCACGUAGGCGGACAUUUAAGUCAGGGGUGAAAUCCCAGAGCUCAACUCUGGAACUGCCUUUGAUACUGGGAGUCUCGAGUCCGGGAGAGGUGAGUGGAACUGCGAGUGUAGAGGUGAAAUUCGUAGAUAUUCGCAAGAACACCAGUGGCGAAGGCGGCUCACUGGCCCGGUACUGACGCUGAGGUGCGAAAGCGUGGGGAGCAAACAGG